rnacentral:tRNA from 1 species
GCCGAAGUGGCGGAACUGGCAGACGCGCCAGGUUCAGGGUCUGGUGGAGGCAACUCUGUGGGGGUCCGAAUCCCCCCUUCGGCACCA